GUGUUAGUAGAAAUGGGAGAUUGUUGGCAUCUCCCCCGACAGGGACCUAAACAGCCUUCAAGCUUCUUGUUAUUAGGACACUGUGCUGUGAGUAUGUAACAGAUUGGUUCAAUUAU
rnacentral:ncRNA from 1 species